GAUGAACGCUGGCGGCGUGCCUAAUACAUGCAAGUCGAGCGAACAGACGAGGAGCUUGCUCCUCUGACGUUAGCGGCGGACGGGUGAGUAACACGUGGAUAACCUACCUAUAAGACUGGGAUAACUUCGGGAAACCGGAGCUAAUACCGGAUAAUAUAUUGAACCGCAUGGUUCAAUAGUGAAAGACGGUUUUGCUGUCACUUAUAGAUGGAUCCGCGCCGCAUUAGCUAGUUGGUAAGGUAACGGCUUACCAAGGCGACGAUGCGUAGCCGACCUGAGAGGGUGAUCGGCCACACUGGAACUGAGACACGGUCCAGACUCCUACGGGAGGCAGCAGUAGGGAAUCUUCCGCAAUGGGCGAAAGCCUGACGGAGCAACGCCGCGUGAGUGAUGAAGGUCUUAGGAUCGUAAAACUCUGUUAUUAGGGAAGAACAAAUGUGUAAGUAACUAUGCAGGUCUUGACGGUACCGAAUCAGAAAGCCACGGCUAACUACGUG
rnacentral:rRNA from 1 species